GAUGAUAUUUUUCAGAUAAGGUUGGCAUUUAAUCAGCAGACUUGAGAAAAGUCACGUACCUUCCAUAAUGUGGGUGAGCUUCCUCCAGGCAGUUGAGGGCCUUAAGAGAAAAGGGUGAUGUCUACCAGAGGAAGAGGGAAAUCUGCCUUCAACCUGAGUUCACAUUCAAGUUGCAAGAUCAGCUCUUCCCUGGGUCUCCAGCCUGCUCAGCAGAUUUUGAUUUUGCUAGCCCCUACAAUCAUGUGAGCCAAUGCUUUAAAAUCUGCCUCUUCUCUCGCUCUGUCUCUCUGUAUCCCUCCCUCCCUUUCUCUCUCUCUCUCUUUAUUGUCCCCCAAUUUCUCUCCCUCUCCUUGCUUCUCUCUCUUCUCUCUCUCCCCGCUUAUCUCCCUUCUGGCCUCUCUCCUCUCUACUCCUCCUCCUUUUCUCCCUCCCCACUUUUCUCUCUCUUUUCUCUCCCUCUCUACUCUCCUCUUUCUCUCUCCCCCUCACUCUCCCUCUUUUUUCUCUCUCCUCCCUCUCUUUCCCUUUCUCUCCUCUCUCUCUCAUUCCUCUUUGCCUCUCUCUCCCUCACUCUUCCACCUCUUCCUUCUCUCUCUCUCUCUGUGUGUGUGUGUGUGUGUGUGUGUAUGUAUGUAUUUCCUUCAUGCAUCCUGUAGGUAUGUGUAUACACAUACUUACAUGUAGACACACACAUCCUACUGUUAUUUUUUCUUGGGAGGACCGUAACACACCAUUGAACUAGGUGGAAGUGAGAUUAACUGCUAAGGCCCUGGGGUUUAUGGCUUCCCUUUGGGUAACUUUGUCCCCUGAACAGAAUACAGAUCAACAUUGAGUCCCCUGAAUUUCUCUUAAACCUGAGCAUGAGAUAGUCUCUCUAGGGUCCUCAGCUCGAGUCUGUGAUCUCUGUUCCUUAUCUCACCCCUAUUCAGAGCUGAGAAAUCUUCAUGAGGAUGGAGAACAUAGGAGUUAAGCCACUUUCAGAGGUGGGAAUGGAAAUUUUCAGAUUUGAUGAUGUUCCAGGUAGAGAAAUAACACCAUUGAUUCAAGAAAGAAAAAUGGGCCUAAAAGAGGCAAGCUGUCUCUUGCCUGCUGUCAUGGAAGACGUGACUUUGCUCCUCAUUGACCUUCUGACACGAUUGUGAGACCUCCCCAGCUGUCUGUAACUCUUCACAGAGGUCCCACUGAGGAUGGUCAACAAAAGAGAAACAGAUGACAGACAACUUCUUAUGUGGAAAGUAUUUACAAGUUAAUAAUUUUUGAAAUCGUUGCAUAAUGCCAUUCUUGUUAAGUAAAUAAAAAUAAAAAACCCAAAGUGUGUUAAUUCUGUUUUGGAUACAUAUAGAAAAGGGAAACCCUAAAGUGUCAACAUUGGUUAGCAGAAAUAGAGAAUAAUGGGGAAAUUAACUUAAUAAAAAUUAAAAUAAUAUCUGUUUGCAAUGCAUUACUUUUGUAAUUAAAACAAAAAUGAAAUACAAGAAGGAAGGUAUAUGGAAAUGGAAGAAUUAAUUUGUUGGCUUGUGUGUUUUAGACCUCAGAUACAUAGGAUUAAUUUAGUGGCUCAGUAUAAAAAUAUUUUCCAGCCAGGCACGGUAGCUCACGCCUGUAAUCCCAGCACUUUGGGAGGCCGAGGUGAGAGGACAACUUGAGGUCAGCAGUUCGAGACCAGCCUGGCCAACAUGGUGAAACCCUGUCUCUACUAAAAAUACAAAAAUUAGCUGGGUGUGAUGGCCCAUGCCUGUAGUCCCAGCUACUUGGAAGGCUGAGGCAGAAGGAUUGCUUAAAUCUGGGAGGCGGAGGUUGCAGUGAGCCGAGAUUGCACCGCUACACUCCAGCCUGGGCGACAGAGUGAGACUCUGUCUCCAAACAAACAAACAAAAAAUAUAAUAAUAAAAAUAUUUCCCUUAACAUAUCUUCUCCUGUUUUAUUUUAUAAUAUUAUUAUACAGAUUAUCCCUAAUCUCUAUCCCAUUACCUCCUUGUUUCUUCCUUGUAUGUAUUAUAAUUGUGGAAUAGCUUGAAUAUUUCAAAAAUAUACAUUGUGUUUUUUGGGAUGUGAAUGUGAUCCUCAUUUUAAAACAAACAGUGUAUUUACUGUCACUCUGACACAGUCAUGUGUCACUUAACAACAGGGAUAUGUUCUGAGAAAUGCACUGUUAGGUGAUUUUGUGGUUGUACACAGAAUGUGAGUACAGCCUAGGGUGUACUCACAAACCUGGAUGAUACAGCCUACUACAUACCCAGGCUAUAUGGUAUAAUUUAUCAUUCCUAGGCCACAAACCUGUGCAGCACAUUACUGUGCUGAAUAUUGUAGGUGACUGUAAUACAAUGGUAAGUAUUUGUGUAUCUAAACAUGUCUAAAUAUAGAAAAGGUAUACUAAAAAUAUGGUAUUGUAAUCUUAUGUGACUACCAUCAUAUAGGUGAUCUGUCAUUGAAUAAAAUGUUGCUCUGUGGUACAUGACUGUAUUCUACUUAAAACUACGGUGGUUUGUUUUGUUUUGUUUUUCAGACGGAGUUUCACUCUUGUUGCCCAGGCUGGAGUGCAGUGGCCUGAUCUCGGCUCACAGCAACCUCCACCUCCCGGAUUCAAGCCAUUCUUCUGCCUCAGCCUCCGGAGUAGCUAGGAUUACAGGCAUAUGCCACCACGCCUGGCUAAUUUUGUAUUUUUAGUAGAGACGGGGUUUCUCCAUGUUGGUCAGGCUGGUCUCGAACUCCGGACCUCAGGUGAUCCGCCCGCCUCGGCCUCCCAGAGUGCUGGGAUUACAGGCGUGAGCCACUGCGCCUGGCCAGACUAUGUUUUUAAAAGCCAUCCCAUGUGGCUAGAUGCAAGCGUGAUAGUAAAAAUACUUAAUAUUUUUAAUAUGCUAUGGAUAUUGAUUAGUGAAAUCAGACAUUGGCAUAAAUAACUGCUGUAAUUAUACCUACGCAAAUCAGCUUAACAUUAGCUCAGGAUACAUGUACACCUAAUGAAUUGUUUCUAGCCCUUACAUAGCAUUUCACCAUAUUCUGUAGUAUUCCAUGCAUCAUAGCUGUGGCUACUUGUAUUGUCUUCUAAUCUCUUCUUCCAUAAACAAUACAGCGGUGAACAUUGUUGUGAAUGUCUUUUUGUGGAUCUAUGUGAUAAAUCCUCUGGUUUAUGUUCCCUAGCAUAAAAUUAAUGCAUCAUGGGUUACAUGCAUUUUCAUUUCAGUAAGUACUGUCAAAUCAUCACCUAGAAGUGUUAUCCAUAUACACAACAACAGUGUAUGAGAUCUCGAUAUUCCUCUAAACUUUCCUAAUACUUACCUCACUGCCUACUUUUUACAUAAUUUAUGAGUGGAAAAAGAUAUCAUUGUUUUACAUACAAUCAAAUUUGAGUUAAUUUGAUAAUUUCCUAAGAAGUUGCUUAAUAUUUUGGAUGUAUCUUGAGGAGGAAGAUUGAUCUGCAAUCUUCCUUUGCGUCAAGACUUUGGUUUUGAAAUCAAGGUUAUUCUAGGAAUACAGCUAAUCAGGGAGGUGAAAGUGCUCUAUGUCAAAAAUUACAAAACACUGCUCAAAGUAAUCAGAGAUGACACAAGCAAAUGGAAAAACAUUCCAUUCUCAUGGAUAGGAAGAUUCAAUGUUGUUUAAAUGGCCAUACUGUUCAGAGAAAUUUACGGAUUCAAUGCUAUUCCUAUUAAACUACCAAUGAUACUCUUCACAAAAUUAGAAAAAAACUAUUAAAAACUUCAUAUGGAACCAAGGCAAUUCUAAACAAAAAGAACAAAGCCAGAGGCAUUAUGCCUGACUUCAAACUAUGCUACAAGACUACAGUGACCAAAACAGCAUGGUACUGGUAUAAAAACAGACUCAUAGACCAAUGAAACAGAAUAGAGAGCCCAGAAAUGAGCCAUACACCUAUAACCAUCUAUCUUCAACAAGUAGACAAAAACAAGUAAUGGGGAAAGGACUGCCUAUUCAAUGAAUGGUUCUGGGAUAACUGGCCACCCACAUGCAGAUUGAAACUAGACACCUUCCUUACACCAUAUACAAAAACCAACUCAAGAUAGAUUAAAUACUUAAAUGUAAACCUCAAAGUAUAAAAGCCCUGGAAAGUAACCUAAGAAAUACCAUUCUGGACAUCUGAUGUGGCAAAGAUUUCAUGAUGAAGAUGCCAUAGCAACUGCAACAAAAACAAAAAUUGACAAAUGGGACCUAGUUAAACCGAAGAGCUUCUGCACAGCAAAAGAAACUAUCAACAGAAUAAACAGACAACCUAUAGAAUGGGAGUAAAUACUUGCAAACUAAUCAACGGAUAAAGGUCUAACACCCAUAAUCUAUAAGAAACUUAAACUAAUCAACAAGCAAAACAAACAAAAAACAAACAAAAAACCCAUUAAAAAGUGGACAAAGGACAUGCACAGAUACUUCUCAAAAGAAGACAUACAUGUAGCCAACAAGCAUAUGAAAAAUGCUCAACAUCACUAAUCAUUAUAGAAAUGCAAAUCAAAACUACAGUGAGAUACCAUCUCACAACAGUCAGAAUGGCUACUACAUAAAAGUCAAAAAGUAUCAGAUGCUGGCAAGGCUGCAGAGAACAGGGAACACUUAAAAACUACUGGUGGAAAUGUAAAUUAGUUCAGCCACUGCGGAAGCAAUUUGGCGAUUUCUCAAAAAACUCAAAGCAGAAUUACCAUUCAACCCAUCAAUCUCAUUAUUGGGUAUAUACCCAAAGGAAUAUAAAUUAUUCUAUCAUAAAGACACAUCUAUGUUUAUGUUCAUUGUAGCACUAUUCACAAUAUCAAAGACAUCAGAUCAAUCUAAAUGCCCACCAGUGGUAGACUGGAUUAGGAGAAUGUGGUACAUAUACUUCAUGGAAUGAUACAUAGCCAUAAAAGGAAUGAGAUCUUUCUUGUCCUUUGUAACAACAUAAAUGGAGCUGGAGGUCAUUAUCCUAAGUGAACUAAGACAAGAACAGAAAACCAAAUAGUGCAUGUUUCCACUUAUAAAUGGGAAGUAAACAUUGAGUAUAUAUAGACACAAAGAAGGGAGCAAUAGACAAUGGGGUCUAAUUGAGGGUGGAGGGAGAGAGGAGAGUGAGGAUUUAAAAAAACUACCUAUCCGGUACUAUGCUUAUUACCUGAGUGGUGAAAGAAUCUGUACACAAAACCCCUGUGACAUGCAAUUUACCUAUAUAACAAUCCUGCACUUAUACCUCUGAACCUAAAAUAGAGGUUGAAAAGUAAAAUCAAGGCUAUUAUGACCAUUGCUAUCCUCUUUUUCUAUAAUCUAGUUUAGUUUACAUUAGGUUGGCAUUAUUUCUCCCUUGAGUGAUUGAGAAUAUAGCCCAUUGAAGCCCUUUAGGCCUGAUAUUACCUUAUGAGAUGUUUUAAAUUAAAGAUUCACUUUUUGUAAUAGAUAUAGAAUUAUUUAAGUGUUGUAUUUCCUCUUUUAUUACUUUCAAGUCAUGUCUAUUUCUUUAUAUUUUCAAAUGCACUGGUAUAAGGUUACCUAGAAUGAUUUCUUAUUACAUUUAUGUUCUGCAGAAUAUAUUGUCAUAUAUCUAUUACUAGCAAUAGUGGUAAUUUAUUUGUUUUUUUCUAUUCCUUUGAUAGUACAAAGUUUGUUCAUUUUAUUAGUGUUUCAAAAGAAUAAACUUUUAGCUUUAAUACCUUUCUACUGUAUUUUUAUUUUGAAGAUAAAAUAAUAAUGUUUUAUGAAAUAAAUAAAUGUUGUUCUCUGCCCUCAUGAAGGCUUAAUUCAUUCAUAGACUUAUGAAUUAAUGGACUGAUGGGUUAAUGAAUUAAUAGGUUAUCAUGGCAUGGAACUGGUGGCUUUAUAAGAAAGGAAGAGAUCUGACCUAGCCCAUUGAGUCACCCUGUCUUGUGAUGCCCUUUGCCGCCUUGGAACUCUGAGGAGAGUCCCCACCAGCAAGAAUAUCUCACCAGAAGUGGACCAGUGACCUUGGACUUCUCAGCCUCCAUAAGUGUCAGAAAUAAAUUUCUUUUCUUUAUAUAUUACCCAGUUUCAAGUAUUCUGUUAUAAAUGACAGAAAAUGAACUAAAACAUUUACACUUGAUUUUAAAAAUAAAUUUCAAUUCUCUGGUAGAAUUCUUACUCUUUUCAUCUACUUUUUGAUCCUAUUAAUCGCUAGUAUUUUAUAUAUCACAACUGAUGUUUAUGCUAUCUGG
rnacentral:lncRNA from 10 species